GGACUCCUUCAGGGUCUCCGGAAACGCGGCGCGGAGGAGCUGUUGCUACUCAGCCCUGCGAGGCGUCAGUGCUGCCCCUGCCUCACCCCUACCCUCCCACUCUUCGCGCGCACACCCCGGCUUUCACAAUAACUGGAUGAGCGGGCCUGGCCUGCAGCGACGACCUAGUGGGCCCUGCCUCUCCACUCCCGCGGUGAUGUACCGUUACCACCCUCUUAAAGGAGCCCAGGAAGGAGGCGGACGGCCCCGUCACAGAGCGUGUAGGGAAAACACAGCACAGUGAUUAUCAGGACGAAACCAAACAAUCGGAACUCCGCAGAGGUGUAGGGAGAUGUGAGGAGAAUGACACAGAUCAAAGAGCUUUUUCCAAGCCAGUAUUUUCCAAACCGCGGGUUAUAAUCUCUAGCGCAUUGUGAAAUUGGUUUGGUAGAUCGGGAUCAUCACCCUCCGUUUUUAAUAAAAUUGAGAAUAGAACAAAAUAGAAAA
rnacentral:lncRNA from 1 species